rnacentral:lncRNA from 1 species
CGCCGAGAGAGGGACACAUUCCCCGUCCAACCGGGGGACCGGCUGAUGAUGAUGAUAACGUCUCCGGACGGUGCCGAGGGCAAAGAUGCGCCAGAAGUGACUCGACGAGAGGCAAGUGUAUCGUCGUCCCGACGUCGGGCGUUCCGGGACAGACGCGUCCGCGGGGCCGCGCGGGGUGGGGGGGGGGGGGGGCCUCCACGGCGUGAGACGAGGCGAUCCGCGGUCGUUCCGGGGUCAUCGUCGUUCCCUUGCCGGAGGAUCGGCGGUCAGGGGGUCGUGGGUUCCGAUCCCGCCUCCGCCGCCCGUCCGCCGUGUGACCCCGGGCGAGUCGCUCCUCCGGGCCUCGGUCACCUCGUCUGUAAAAGCGGGGACCGCGACGGCGACCGUGUCCGACUCGAUCGGCUUGGGUCCGCCCCGGCGCUCAGCCCCGGUGCCUGGCGCACGGUAAGCGCUUAA